CAUUACGAGUACCUCCUCCCCCCACCCCCGUACCGGGUGUAGCUGGGAGAUCCUGACUCCAGGGCGGUGUGCGGGUGCCAUCUCGGGUCUGGCAACGGGACACCUGCUCGUCUCGGGGUGCGGGGAGCUCCUGCCGAACCCACGGUCACCAGAGCCGCCGAGGUCUCAAGAGCCGUGCCCAGCUCUCCCUGGACCAACUUGGCCCCUAGCUCCUUCUGCUCUCCACCCCUCUCCCCCCACCCUCCCACAAGGGUCGGAUAGAGUCGGCAGCCCGGAGUCCCACUGACCCCCUUCACACCACUGCCCUGGAGCUGAGAGGAGCUUUUCCUUCACCCCUCCACUCCCCACCUCCCCGCCUCCCCCAGUCCUCCCAGCCAAGCGCUCCCUUAUCCCAUCCCGCCCUAGCUCGGCCUUUCCUCUGAAGAAGCUGCUGGAAGGAGCUGGGGCAGGAGCCAGCAGACCUCGACCACCAGCCUCCCCCACCCCCCAACCCAGAUCAGAGUCUGACCCCGGAACCUCGUCCCCGCUCUGCGGAAUGGCCACACAGAGCCAGGCUGCGCGCGCUCGUGGUCGCUGCACACCUGUUGGAGGUCCGACAGACCUGGUAAAGUCCGGAUUCGGGGAAGCUGCCUGAGCUCGGGAGCACAAAACUACAUCUCCCAGAAUGCUGUUCGCGCGAGGGCACUCUCACCUACUGAAAAAGCAAAGUUUGUGUGAAGGCUUCCACUCAAGAUAUCUCAAGUUUUCCUCUCUUUUCACCAGAAUGUGCCAGCAGUUCCUUGCCUUAAAGAUGGUGGGUGGUCCCAAAGUGGGGGUAAGUCCUUUGAGGUCAGGUUGUCGGCUGUCUUUUAUUUUCUUAAUUUCUGUAGUCCCAGCACCCAAGACAAUGCUUUGCACAUACUACUAGGCACUUAAUAAAAUGGUGGUUGGAUUGGUCUGAA